rnacentral:tRNA from 1 species
GCCGCUUUCGUCUAGUGGCCAAGGACAUCAGGUUCUCAUCCUGAAGAUCACGGGUUCGAUUCCCGUAAGCGGCA